UACAGAGGCCUCAAGCGUUGUUCGGAAUCACUGGGCGUAAAGCGGGUGUAGGUUGCGACGUAAGUCAGAUGUGAAAGCCCUGGGCUCAACCCGGGAAGUGCGUCUGAUACUGCGUUGCUUGAGUUCAAUAGAGGUAAGAGGAAUUCCUAGUGUAGGGGUGAAAUCCGUAGAUAUUAGGAGGAAUUCCGAUGGCGAAGGCAUCUUACUGGCUUGACACUGACACUGAGACCCGAAAGCGUGGGUAGCAAAC
rnacentral:rRNA from 1 species